rnacentral:rRNA from 1 species
UGCCAGACUCCUACGGGAGGCAGCAGUGAGGAAUAUUGGUCAAUGGGCGCGAGCCUGAACCAGCCAAGUCGCGUGAGGGAUGACGGUCCUACGGAUUGUAAACCUCUUUUGCCGGGGAGCAAGCGUGCGUUCGUGAACGCGCGUCGAGAGUACCCGGAGAAAAAGCAUCGGCUAACUCCGUGCCAGCAGCCGCGGUAAUACGGAGGAUUCAAGCGUUAUCCGGAUUUAUUGGGUUUAAAGGGUGCGUAGGCGGUCGGAUAAGUUAGAGGUGAAAUCCCGAGGCUCAACUUCGGAAUUGCCUCUGAUACUGUUCGGCUAGAGAGUAGUUGCGGUAGGCGGAAUGUAUGGUAUAGCGGUGAAAUGCUUAGAGAUCAUACAGAACACCGAUUGCGAAGGCAGCUUACCAAGCUACUUCUGACGUUGAGGCACGAAAGCGUGGGGAGCAAACAGGAUUAGAUACCCUGGUAA